AGUUCGAUCAUGGCUCAGAUUGAACGCUGGCGGGAUGCUUUACACAUGCAAGUCGAACGGCAGCACGGACUUCGGUCUGGUGGCGAGUGGCGAACGGGUGAGUAAUGUAUCGGAACGUGCCUAGUAGCGGGGAUAACUACGCGAAAGCGUAGCUAAUACCGCAUACGCCCUUUCGGGGGAAAGCGGGGGGACCUGGCCUCGCACUAUUAGAGCGGCUAUCGGAUUAGCUAGUUGGUGUGAACGUUCUUCCGUCAUGAUCGAUCCGUAGCUGGUUUGAGAGGACGACCGGCCACACUGGGACUGAGACAUGGCCCAGACUCCUACGAGGCAGUAAAUUUCGGGACAAUGGGGAAACCCUGAUCCCAGCCAUCCUUAUGUGUGCGAUGAAGGCCUUUGGCUUGUAAAGCACUUUUCGGCAGAGUUGUUCCGCAAUGGGAUAAUACCGUGCAACUGACGGCACUGCAGAAUAAGCACCGGCUAACUACGUGCCAGCAGCCGCGGUAACGGUUGCAGUGUGCGCGUUAAUCGGAAUUACUGGGCGUAAAAGCGUGCGGCAGGCGGUUCGGAAAGAAAGAUGUGAACCUUGGUUUAACUUUGGAACUGCAUUUUUAACUACCGAGCUAGAGUGUGUCAGAGGGUGAGGUGAAUCGCGUAGCAGUGAAAAUGCGUAGAUAUGCGGAGGAACACCGAUGGCGAAGGCAGCCUGGGAUAACACUGACGCUCAUGCACGAAAGCGUGGGGAGCAAACAGGAUUAGAUACUCCUGGCAGUCCACGCCCUAAACGAUGUCAACUAGCUGUUAAACGGCCUGGUAGCGCAGCUAACGGGCAGAAGUUGACCGCCUGGGGAGUACGGUCGCAAAAGAUUAAAACUCAAAGGAAUUGACGGGGACCCGCACAAGCGGUGGAUGAUGUGGAUUAAUUGAUGCAACGCGAAAACCUUACUCACUCCUUGACAUGUCUGGAAUCCCGAAGAGAUUUGGGAGUGCUCGCAAGAGAACCGGAACACAGGUGCUGCAUGGCUGUCGUCAGCUCGUGUCGUGAGAUGCUGGGUUAAGUCCCGCAACGAGCGCAACCCUUGUCAUUAGUUGCUACGAAAGGGCACUCUAAUGAGACUGCCGGUGACAAACCGGAGGAAGGUGGAUGACGUCAAGUCCUCAUGGCCUAUGGGUAGGGCUUCACACGUCAUACAAUGGUCGGGACAGAGGGUCGCCAACCCGCGAGGGGGAGCCAAUCCCAGAAACCCGAUCGUAGUCCGGAUCGCAGUUCGCAACUCGACUGCGUGGGAAGUCGGAAUCGCUAGUAAUCGCGGAUCAGCAUGUGUCGCGGUGAAUACGUUCCCGUCUUGUACACACCGCCCGUCACACCAUGGGAGUGGGUUUUACCAGAAGUAGUUAGCCUAACCGUAAGGAGGGCGAUUACCACGGUAGGAUUCAUGACUGGGGUGUAGUCGUAACAAGGUAG
rnacentral:rRNA from 1 species